AAGAGGUUUCAGUAUGUACUGCAUGGCGAGAAGAGGUUUCAGUAUGUACUGCAUGGCGAGAAGAGGUUUCAGUAUGUACUGCAUGGCGAGAAGAGGUUUCAGUAUGUACUGUAUGGCGAGAAGAGGUUUCAGUAUGUACUGUAUGGCGAGAAGAGGUUUCAGUAUGUACUGCAUGGCGAGAAGAGGUUUCAGUAUGUACUGCAUGGCGAGAAGAGGUUUCAGUAUGUACUGCAUGGCGAGAAGAGGUUUCAGUAUGUACUGCAUGGUCAGAAGAGGUUUCAGUAUGUACUGUAUGGUGGUUUUGCAUUAGGUGGACGUGUGAGAUGUGAUAAAUGCCAAAAAUAACUUUAUAUAAACAUUAUACUCGUUUUAAGUUGCAAAAGUAGAUGAUAGAAUGGUUGUAACAGUUCCACAUGGUCAAAGCCUCUAUUGCCUACUGUAUACACUGACUUCCACUUUGACUUGCACGACCACUGCUUGUGUAACUGGCCUUCUAGAACUCUCCUCUGAGUGUUGCUCAAGUAAAACAGGGCUUC